AUUGAACGCUGGCGGCAUGCCUUACACAUGCAAGUCGAACGGCAGCACGGGGGCAACCCUGGUGGCGAGUGGCGAACGGGUGAGUAAUGCAUCGGAACGUGCCCUGAAGUGGGGGAUAACGUAGCGAAAGUUACGCUAAUACCGCAUAUUCUGUGAGCAGGAAAGCAGGGGAUCGCAAGACCUUGCGCUUUAGGAGCGGCCGAUGUCGGAUUAGCUAGUUGGUGGGGUAAGAGCUCACCAAGGCGACGAUCCGUAGCGGGUCUGAGAGGAUGAUCCGCCACACUGGGACUGAGACACGGCCCAGACUCCUACGGGAGGCAGCAGUGGGGAAUUUUGGACAAUGGGCGCAAGCCUGAUCCAGCCAUGCCGCGUGAGUGAAGAAGGCCUUCGGGUUGUAAAG
rnacentral:rRNA from 1 species